CCUACGGGUGGCAGCAGUGGGGAAUAUUGGGCAAUGGGCGCAAGCCUGACCCAGCAACGCCGCGUGAAGGAAGAAGGCUUUCGGGUUGUAAACUUCUUUUAAUAGGGAAGAGAAGAAGACGGUACCUCUUGAAUAAGCCACGGCUAACUACGUGCCAGCAGCCGCGGUAAUACGUAGGUCGCAAGCGUUGUGCGGAUUUACUGGGUGUAAAGGGCGUGCAGGCGGGAUGACAAGUCAGAUGUGAAAUCCCGCGGCUAAACCAUGGAACUGCAUUUGAAACUGUUUUUCUUGAGUAUCGGAGAGGUAAUCGGAAUUCUUGGUGUAGCGGUGAAAUGCGUAGAGAUAAAGAAGAACACUAGUGGCGAAGGCGGAUGACUGGACGAUAACUGACGGUGAGGCGCGAAAGCGUGGGGAGCAAACAGGAUUAGAUACCCGGGUAGUC
rnacentral:rRNA from 1 species